AGUUGGAAAUCCAAAAUCCACGCUGUACUCCGAAUUCAACACGCUCUUGAGUCGACUGCUGGUGGGUUAAAGUCAUUUUGAAGCCUGCAGUGAAUUUUUUGAAGUUUCUGGAGCCUCCAGCAGAGUUUUGAAACUCGAAAUUCCCGCAAAAUUUUAUCGAAUACAGUUGGAAAGCCCAUAAGUUAAUUUGGACAGAUUUUCUGCCAUUUUUUGAAAAACUGAUUUUUUCAAAAAGCAGCUGGUGGCUUUAGGACGGAUUGCAACUGCCUGAAACCCACUUCCGCCUGUCUUCAUCAUAAUGACAAAAAUAUAAUAUAAAAUGAAUUUAUUCAUUCUAUGUAAGUACUUCUAGUGGAGACGGAAAGGUGAAUUUUUCAAAUUUUUAGAUAAGUAAAUAUGAAAUCGACGCAUAAAAAUAUUUUUCCAACUGGAAUAUACCGAUUUUGAAAAAAUGAACGAGUACAUUUUCGGUCAUAAAAAUCAUUAACAAGCGCCGACAGGUUUCAUGACCUUUUUUGGAAAACUGGAAUUUUAAAAAAGUAACUGAAAGCUUCAAAACGACUAGAACUCACCUGCAGUCGACUUCAUAGCGUAUUGAAAUUAGUUUGCGGAAUGAAUUUCGACAUGUCAACUACAUUUGAUGAAAUUUCGUGGGAAUUCCAAGUUUCAAAAACUUACGGAAGGCUCCAAGAAUUUUCAAAAAGUCGCUGUAGGCUCCAAAAUAAUUUGAAUCCACUAGCAGUCGACUUGAUAGAGUGUUGAAGUUGGAGUGCAGCGUGAUUUCGGAUUUCCACCUUCAUUUCGAUGACAUUUUCACAAAAUUUCAUAUUUCAAAAAUGUCCUGGAGGCUCCAGAACUGCUCAAAACAGUUUGAAACCGGUUUCAAUCGAUUUGGCAGGUCGAAAAUCGGGUAGAUCCAAAAUUUCAGCUUUUCAAGUCGAUUUGGUAAAAUUUUGAUUUUUUCUCUCAUUUUUAGUCUCAAUUCAAUUUUUAAAAAUUCGCCAAAAAUCAAAAAAUGCACUUUAGCACUAAAAAUUUUGGCUGGUGAUAAAUUUUUGCAUGCUCUUUCGAUCUAGCUUCGUCCAGUUUAAAAAAUUCCGUGCGAGUUCUACUAUAAUAUGUUGGAAAGCAAAAUCUGCGAUUUCGUCGGACCAUGUGAAUCAAAAUGGCGGCCAUUUUGUUGGUGAGGCCAACUUCUUUUUGACAUCCGACAUCGAGCGUAUUUUCGGACUUGAAUUUUCACCAAAAAACAUUCGAAGGUCUCGAAGUGAGGUUUUGGUUUGAAAAAGUAGGGGAAGAAAGGUAGGGAGGGGGCAUUCUAGACCGAGACCCUCAUUUCUCGCUUGCACCACUCUAAUUAUCUUUAUCAAACAUUAUCUACACUAUUUCAAAUCACACGAUAGGGUUAAGAAUUUAAAUGAAACCGUACUCGACUUCCCAUGUAUAGUUGUUUUAGCUUAUUUAACAGCAAGGUUUUCAUUUUCGUUCGUGCUGUUUAAAUAUUUUUUCAAAUAAUAUGGUUUGUGAAAAGUAUUUUUCUAAAUUUUUCAAAAGCAUCAAGCCAGGUAAAAAUAAUGAGCAACCGAACCCGAAAUCAGAAAGUUUGCUAAAUGAAAUCCAACACCACACAACGACUCAGAUUCAUAAAGUCGACUUUAGUUGGACAAUAGACGAAUUAGAUUUUCAUAUAACGAAAAAAGAGUUCCUAAAAUCGUGCAAGUUUUCAUCCAUCACAAACGACGAAUGUAAAUGGCGUUUGGUCUGUUUGCCCUAUGAUAAACUUUAUAGGCCUGACCGCGACGACCUCGUGGGAAUCUGUGUAUGCUUAGUUCUUAUAUCGGAUCAUGCAGAUACUAAAUUACUCGUAAAAAGAGAGAUUUGUUUUCUGAAUAGCACACAAAAAGAAGUACAAAA